AGCAGCCGCGGUAAUACGUAGGUGGCGAGCGUUAUCCGGAAUCAUUGGGCGUAAAGGGUGCGUAGGUGGCACGAUAAGUCUGUAGUAAAAGGCAGCGGCUCAACCGCUGUUGGCUAUGGAAACUGUCGAGCUGGAGUGCAGAAGAGGGCGAUGGAAUUCCAUGUGUAGCGGUAAAAUGCGUAGAUAUAUGGAGGAACACCAGUGGCGAAGGCGGCCGCCUGGUCUGCAACUGACACUGAAGCACGAAAGCGUGGGGAGCAAAUAGGAUUAGAUACCCUAGUAGUCCACGCCGUAAACGAUGAGAACUAAGUGUUGGGGAAACUCAGUGCUGCAGUUAACGCAAUAAGUUCUCCGCCUGGGGAGUAUGCACGCAAGUGUGAAACUCAAAGGAAUUGACGGGGGCCCGCACAAGCGGUGGAGUAUGUGGUUUAAUUCGAAGCAACGCGAAGAACCUUACCAGGCCUUGACAUGGAGAUAAAGGCCCUGGAGACAGGGAGAUAGAUAUAUCUCACACAGGUGGUGCAUGGUUGUCGUCAGCUCGUGUCGUGAGAUGUUGGGUUAAGUCCCGCAACGAGCGCAACCCUUGUUUCUAGUUACCAACAGUAAGAUGGGGACUCUAGAGAGACUGCCGGUGACAAACCGGAGGAAGGUGGGGAUGACGUCAAAUCAUCAUGCCCCUUAUGGCCUGGGCUACACACGUACUACAAUGGCGGUUACAAAGGGCAGCGACCCUGUGAGGGGGAGCGAAUCCCGGAAAGACCGUCUCAGUUCGGAUUGAAGUCUGCAACCCGACUUCAUGAAGUUGGAAUCGCUAGUAAUCGCGAAUCAGCAUGUCGCGGUGAAUACGUUCUCGGGCCUUGUACACACCGCCCGUCAAACCAUGGGAGUUGGCAAUACCCGAAGCCGGUGGCAUAACCAAAUGGAGUGAGCCGUCGAAGGUAGGGCCGAUGACUGGGGUUAAGUCGUAACAAGGUAUCCCUACGGGAACGUGGGGAUG
rnacentral:rRNA from 1 species